rnacentral:rRNA from 1 species
UCGAGCGAACAGACGAGGAGCUUGCUCCUCUGACGUUAGCGGCGGACGGGUGAGUAACACGUGGAUAACCUACCUAUAAGACUGGGAUAACUUCGGGAAACCGGAGCUAAUACCGGAUAAUAUAUUGAACCGCAUGGUUCAAUAGUGAAAGACGGUUUUGCUGUCACUUAUAGAUGGAUCCGCGCCGCAUUAGCUAGUUGGUAAGGUAACGGCUUACCAAGGCAACGAUGCGUAGCCGACCUGAGAGGGUGAUCGGCCACACUGGAACUGAGACACGGUCCAGACUCCUACGGGAGGCAGCAGUAGGGAAUCUUCCGCAAUGGGCGAAAGCCUGACGGAGCAACGCCGCGUGAGUGAUGAAGGUCUUCGGAUCGUAAAACUCUGUUAUUAGGGAAGAACAAAUGUGUAAGUAACUAUGCACGUCUUGACGGUACCUAAUCAGAAAGCCACGGCUAACUACGUGCCAGCAGCCGCGGUAAU